GGAAUCAUUCACCGUGAUAUUAAGUCCACAAACAUCUUGCUUGAUGACAACUUUGUUGCUAAAGUUGCUGAUUUUGGAUUAUCAAGAUCAGGUCUUCCUCAUCAAACCCAUGUCAGCACAGCUGUAAAAGGCACCUUUGGAUAUCUUGAUCCAGAGUACUUCAGGACCCAACAGUUGACAGACAAGUCCGAUGUUUACUCUUUUGGUGUGGUUCUUCUGGAAGUGCUAUGUGCCAGACCAGCUAUCAAUCCCUCACUUCCAAGGGAGCAAAUGAACCUAGCUGAAUGGGUGAUGGUUUGGCAGAAGAAAGGAUUACUUGAACAGGUUAUUGAUCCUUUGCUCGUGGGUAAAGUCAAUCUCAACUCACUAAGAAAAUUUGGUGAAACAGUAGAGAAAUGUUUGAAGGAGGAUGGCACGGAUAGGCCUACUAUGGGUGAUGUGAUGUGGGACUUGGAGUAUGCUUUUCAACUUCAACAAACUGCAAUGCAGAGGGAGCCAUUAGAGGACAGCACAAACGAUGCUGCUUCCACAUUUCCAUUGCCUACCAUUCAGCGUUAUCCUUCAUAUAGCUUUUCAAUUUCAGACAUCCAUGGGCCCCAAAGGAGGGACGGCAGUUCAGAGACAACAGAAAGCGAAGUUUUCUCCCAGUUGAGGAUUGACGAUGGCAGAUAAUUUCAUUGUCUUUGAGGCAAGGUUAUGAGUUCAUGUUUGUUCAGCUUUCACACACUGUUGUCGGAGUGGAAUCAGUGAUUUAGUUUGUGAAUUGCUUAAGAUGUCGUUGUUUCUAAUGAGCUCAAGGGACUAGUAUAUUAGCCUUGAUAAGUUGGCAGAUUAGCUUGUGUCAAAUAAAUUUCAGUUUUAGGAGAAAUUGGACUAAUAAAUAUCUACCCCAUUAGAAACUCUACCCCUGCUUCUCUUGUUGAUUAAUUCAUUCAAAUUAUACGAACAUUAAUGCUUCUGUUCUCUAUAUUCAGAAGAAUGUGAGAAUCAUGCCCCAGAAAUGCAGGAAGCUAAUAAAAAUGAUGCAGUGUGCUCAAUCCUCAUAAUGUAUUAUGUACCUGAGGAAUCCUUCUUAGGAUGGUUGCAAGCUUUUGAAUUUCCAUUUCCCUUCCUCUACGCAGAUGGUACCAGGAGGGCUUCCUCAAGCACCUUAAGGCUUGGUCUUGAGUUCGAAUCCUGGGGAGGCCACUCUGGGCGCCGCGCAGGCUCAAGCCUAGGCACCAGGGCCAAACAAACAAAUGACGUCCCAACACUUAUUUUUUUAAUAAGAGCGCUGCAAGAAAUCAAUCUGUCCCUACGGAGACUAGCUACCAGCAAAUGAGUGGAUAUAACGACAGUACUCGUUAUAUUGCCCCACCUCUUGUUUAUAUGAGUGCCAAAGAAAUGAAUAAAAGUGACAGUGAUCCGUUGCAAUUUUUCAACAUCAGUUGGGGUUUUGAUGUGUCCAAGAAUGCUAGGUACUUUCUUCGGGUUCACUUCUGCGACUUUAUUAGCAACUCUGGGUCAUUUAAUCCAUGGCUCAAUCUCUAUAUUUAUAGCUUCUUCAGUCUGAAAAUAGACAAUAUCCCCUUUGGCCUUUUUUCCUUGAUCUUUUAGUUGUUUCAGAUGAUUCUGGAUUUCUCAAUGUCAGUAUAGGGCCUCAGAUUGAUUCUCCAGUUAACAAUUCCUUCCUCAAUGGCCUGGAGAUUAUGGAAAUCAUGGAGGAAUUGGGUUGGGUUUCUAUGGAAAAUGAGUCUAAGAAGAAAACUACACCUCUCCUGAUUGGUUUAGUUGUAGGAGGUUUGGCUCUCGUCUGCAUUGUGAUAAUUGUGCUCUCGUUGCGAUUAAAAUGCAGGAAGGAAAAGCCUGCUGAAGCUUCACACUGGUUGCCAGUUACUGUUGAUGGGGGAUUGAGUUCCCACAGCAGGGUGUAUGAGGCAACCAUCCAUGGCUCCCCUGUUCCUCAUUUAAAUCUGGGAUUAAAAAUACCAUUUGCAGAAAUUCAGUCUGCAACAAACAACUUCAGCCGCAAGUUGCUGGUUGGUAAGGGUGGAUUUGGCAAAGUGUACCCAGGAACUCUCAGGAAUGGCAUGAAAGUGGCAGUGAAGAGAAGUCAGCCAGGACAUGGCCAAGGCCUGCCUGAAUUCCAGACUGAGAUAUUGGUGUUAUCCAAAAUUCGCCAUGCCACCUGGUUUCCUUGAUUCGAUAUUGUGACGAAAUGAAUGAAAUGAUCCUGGUUUAUGAAUUUAUGCAGGAAGGGACUCUAAGAAAUCAUCUGUAUGGUUCAGAUUUGCCGUGUUUAUCUUGGAAGCAAAGGCUGGAAAUUUGCAUUGGUGCAGCAAGGGGACUUCACUACCUCCACACAGGUUCAGAAGGCGGAAUCAUUCACCGUGAUAGUAAGUCCACAAACAUCUUGCUUGAUGACAACUUUGUUUCUAAAGUUGCUGAUUUUGGAUUAUCAAGAUCAGGUCUUCCUCAUCAAACCCAUGUCAGCACAGCUGUCAAAGGCACCUUUGGAUAUCUCGAUCCGGAGUACUUCAGGACCCAACAGUUGACAGACAAAUCCGAUGUUUACUCUUUUGGUGUGGUUCUUCUGGAAGUGCUAUGUGCCAGACCAGCUAUCAAUCCCUCACUUCCAAGGGAGCAAAUGAACCUAGCUGAAUGGGUGAUGGUUUGGCAGAAGAAAGGAUUACUUGAACAGGUUAUUGAUCCUUUGCUCGUGGGUAAAGUCAAUCUCAACUCACUAAGAAAAUUUGGUGAAACAGCAGAAAAAUGUUUGAAGGAAGAUGGCACGGAUAGGCC
rnacentral:lncRNA from 1 species